rnacentral:rRNA from 1 species
AGCGAACGCUGGCGGCAGGCUUAACACAUGCAAGUCGAGCGGGCACUUUCGGGUGUCAGCGGCGGACGGGUGAGUAACGCGUGGGAACGUGCCCUCUGGUUCGGAAUAACUCAGGGAAACUUGAGCUAAUACCGGAUACGCCCUUUUGGGGAAAGGCUUGCUGCCGGAGGAUCGGCCCGCGUCUGAUUAGCUAGUUGGUGAGGUAACGGUUCACCAAGGCGACGAUCAGUAGCUGGUCUGAGAGGAUGAUCAGCCACACUGGGACUGAGACACGGCCCAGACUCCUACGGGAGGCAGCAGUGGGGAAUAUUGGACAAUGGGCGCAAGCCUGAUCCAGCCAUGCCGCGUGAGUGAUGAAGGCCUUAGGGUUGUAAAGCUCUUUUAUCCGGGACGAUAAUGACGGUACCGGAGGAAUAAGCCCCGGCUAACUUCGUG